rnacentral:rRNA from 2 species
CAGGAAUGGCGGCAUGCUAUACAUGCAGUCGAGCGAGAUCUAAUAUGGAGAGCUUGCUUCCCUUUAAGUUAGCGGCGGACGGGUGAGUAACACGUGGGCAACCUGCCUGUAAGACUGGGAUAACUUCGGGAAACCGGAGCUAAUACCGGAUAAUAUAAAGAACCACAUGGUUCUCUAUUAAAAGAUGGUUUCGGCUAUCACUUACAGAUGGGCCCGCGGCGCAUUAGCUAGUUGGUGAGGUAACGGCUCACCAAGGCAACGAUGCGUAGCCGACCUGAGAGGGUGAUCGGCCACACUGGGACUGAGACACGGCCCAGACUCCUACGGGAGGCAGCAGUAGGGAAUCUUCCGCAAUGGACGAAAGUCUGACGGAGCAACGCCGCGUGAACGAUGAAGGCCUUCGGGUCGUAAAGUUCUGUUGUUAAGGAAGAACAAGUACGAGAGUAACUGCUCGUACCUUGACGGUACUUAACCAGAAAGCCACGGCUAACUACGUGCCAGCAGCCGCGGUAAUACGUAGGUGGCAAGCGUUAUCCGGAAUUAUUGGGCGUAAAGCGCGCGCAGGCGGUCUCUUAAGUCUGAUGUGAAAGCCCCCGGCUCAACCGGGGAGGGUCAUUGGAAACUGGGAGACUUGAGUGCAGAAGAGGAGAGUGGAAUUCCACGUGUAGCGGUGAAAUGCGUAGAGAUGUGGAGGAACACCAGUGGCGAAGGCGACUCUCUGGUCUGUAACUGACGCUGAGGCGCGAAAGCGUGGGGAGCGAACAGGAUUAGAUACCCUGGUAGUCCACGCCGUAAACGAUGAGUGCUAAGUGUUAGAGGGUUUCCGCCCUUUAGUGCUGCAGCAAACGCAUUAAGCACUCCGCCUGGGGAGUACGGUCGCAAGACUGAAACUCAAAGGAAUUGACGGGGGCCCGCACAAGCGGU